AAGACUUUAGAUAUGAUCCAGAGUACCACGGGACACGUGAAACCCUGUGGGAAGCAGGAGGGACCACCCUCCAAGGCUAAAUACUACCUAGUGACCGAUAGCGUAUAGUACCGUGAGGGAAAGGUGAAAAGAACCCCGGGAGGGGAGUGAAAUAGAACCUGAAACCCUGCACUUACAAGCUGUGGAAGCACAUUUCUUGUGUGACCGCGUACUUUUUGUAGAACGGGCCAACGAGUUACGUUAAGUAG
rnacentral:rRNA from 1 species